rnacentral:rRNA from 1 species
GACGAACGCUGGCGGCGUGCCUAAUACAUGCAAGUAGAACGCAGUUGCGAACGGGUGAGUAACGCGUAGGUAACUGCCUCAUAGCGGGGGAUACCUAUUGGAAACGCUAGCUAAUACCGCAUACUGUGAGAUGGACCUGCGUUGUAGUAGCUAGUUGGUGAGGUAAAGGCUCACCAAGGCGACGAUACAUAGCAGACCUGAGAGGGUGAUUGGCCACAACGGGAGUGGUACGCGGCCCCGACUCCGACGGGAGACAGCAGUAGGGAAGUGGCGGCAAUGGACGGAAGUCUGACCGAGAAACGCCGCGUGAGUGAAGAAGGUGUUCGGAUCGUAAAGCUCUGUUGUUAUAGAAGCGGUAACUAGCCAGAAAGGGACGGCUAACUACGUGCCAGCGGCCGCGGGAAUUC